rnacentral:tRNA from 1 species
CGCGAGAUGGAGCAGUAUGGUAGCUCGUCGGGCUCAUAACCCGAAGGUCGUUGGUUCAAAUCCAGCUCCCGCAACCA